rnacentral:rRNA from 1 species
GGUGAACGCUGGCGGCGUGCUUAAGACAUGCAAGUCGAACGGCAGUCUUCGGACUGUAGUGGCGCACGGGUGAGUAACGCGUAACUGACCUACCCCAAAGUCGCGGAUAACGAUUCGAAAGAAUCGCUAAUACGUGAUGUGCUGUCAGAUUGUGUUCUGCUAGUAAAGAUUGAUUGCUUUGGGAUGGGGUUGAGUUCCAUCAGCUAGUUGGUGGGGUAAAGGCCCACCAAGGCGACGACGGAGAGCCGGCCUGAGAGGGUGGCCGGCCACAGGGGCACUGAGACACGGGUCCCACUCCUACGGGAGGCAGCAGUUAGGAAUCUUCCACAAUGGGCGAAAGCCUGAUGGAGCGACGCCGCGUGAGGGAUGAAGGUCUUCGGAUCGUAAACCUCUGAAUCAGGGACGAAAGACACUUCGGUGGGAUGACGGUACCUGAGUAAUAGCACCGGCUAACUCCGUGCCAGCCGCCGCCGUAAGAC